GUAGGGUGCGAGCGUUAAUCGGAAUUACUGGGCGUAAAGCGUGCGCAGGCGGUUGUGCAAGACAGAUGUGAAAUCCCCGGGCUUAACCUGGGAACUGCAUUUGUGACUGCACGGCUGGAGUGCGGCAGAGGGGGAUGGAAUUCCGCGUGUAGCAGUGAAAUGCGUAGAUAUGCGGAGGAACACCGAUGGCGAAGGCAAUCCCCUGGGCCUGCACUGACGCUCAUGCACGAAAGCGUGGGGAGCAAACAGGAUUAGAUACCCUGGUAGUCCACGCCCUAAACGAUGUCAACUGGUUGUUGGGAAGGUUCCUUCUCAGUAACGAAGCUAACGCGUGAAGUUGACCGCCUGGGGAGUACGGCCGCAAGGUUGAA
rnacentral:rRNA from 1 species